rnacentral:rRNA from 2 species
GUGGACGCCAGUCUGCAUGGAGCCGACCUUGAAAUACCACCCUUUAAUGUUUGAUGUUCUAACGUGGACCCGUUACCCGGGUUGCGGACAGUGUCUGGUGGGUAGUUUGACUGGGGCGGUCUCCUCCUAAAGAGUAACGGAGGAGCACGAAGGUUGGCUAAUCCUGGUCGGACAUCAGGAGGUUAGUGCAAUGGCAUAAGCCAGCUUGACUGCGAGCGUGACGGCGCGAGCAGGUGCGAAAGCAGGUCAUAGUGAUCCGGUGGUUCUGAAUGGAAGGGCCAUCGCUCAACGGAUAAAAGGUACUCCGGGGAUAACAGGCUGAUACCGCCCAAGAGUUCAUAUCGACGGCGGUGUUUGGCACCUCGAUGUCGGCUCAUCACAUCCUGGGGCUGAAGUAGGUCCCAAGGGUAUGGCUGUUCGCCAUUUAAAGUGGUACGCGAGCUGGGUUUAGAACGUCGUGAGACAGUUCGGUCCCUAUCUGCCGUGGGCGCUGGAGAACUGAGGGGGGCUGCUCCUAGUACGAGAGGACCGGAGUGGACGCAUCACUGGUGUUCGGGUUGUCAUGCCAAUGGCACUGCCCGGUAGCUAAAUGCGGAAGAGAUAAGUGCUGAAAGCAUCUAAGCACGAAACUUGCCCCGAGAUGAGUUCUCCCUGAGACUUAAAGUCUCCUGAAGGAACGUUGAAGACGACGACGUUGAUAGGCCGGGUGUGUAAGCGCAGCGAUGCGUUGAGCUAACCGGUACUAAUGAACCGUGAGGCUUAACCCUACAACGCCGAAG